rnacentral:lncRNA from 1 species
AGAUUUCUAGCUGUAGCAGCCGUCAGUGCGUUUUGGCAUGGUCUGGCACCAGGGUAUUAUCUAUCGUUCGUCUUUAUUCCAUUAGCUCAAUCCGUUCAGGAAAGAUGUGCAAAGAAAUUUCUACCAUAUCUUAACGAGAAACAGCAAGAAUGGUACUUCUGGGUUAGUUGGUUUAUUGGUUACCGUCUGUUGGAGUAUUUUGGUGUUGGUGUUUGGGUACAUAGCAUGUCAUUAACUUUACGUUGUUGGAGAAGUAUGCGUUAUUAUGGACACAUUCUACUUCUUGUGUUGUUUCUGUUAACAAUUAUUGUCCCUGAUGCUCGUUCUAAACAACACGAUAAAAUAUCACAUGAAAAAUUGUCACAUGAGAAAACGUCUUAAGUUUAGUUUAUUGCAAAAGUUAUAUCAUGGAUUUAAAUUAGUAAGCCCAAUCAAAGAAGUAAAGCCGGUUUCCACUUCAACCGUAUUGUACCAUACCGUAUAGCAUUUAUUUUUUGUCAGUAUCAUGAUGAGUCCCAUCCUAGUUUUCAGAAAACAAAGAAAUACGCUACGGUCAAUGGACAACUUGCAUGUUAGACUAAAUUUUAAUCUAUUAAGUAAAGAGAAGGUCAUCAAACACCACAGCUAAAAAGAACAUAACGAAAAUUGCAAAAUUUAGUUGCGAGAUGAUAUAAAGCUUGGAAAAUAUAGUCUUGUGAAGUUUGCAAAUUUUGUAUAUGUUUGUAUUACGUGCGCAAAUUGUUACCAUUUUCGGCUCAAAAAUGGUAACCAUUUCCGCACGUAAUACAAACAUAUACAACAUAUGCAAACUUCGAAAGGCUAUAUUAUAUUUCCGAAUAUAAAAACUCUUCAACUGUUAGUUGUAUCGAGAUGCCUGAAUAUUUAUCGCAUCGUGAAUUUGCCUCGGUGUGUACAAAUUAGUAGCUUCCAUUGUCAUUGAUAAAUAUCAAUGGUAUACUCGAGGCUUUUUUCAGGAUUUUUUGCGUUCAGAUUUGACUUCCACUACCACGCUUCUGAUUGGUUAAUGGUAGCGGAAGUGAAAUCUGAACCUUGCAUGUUAUUGAGCGGCUGUAGGGGCAGAGUGGAUCCAGAUCUCCAGGGGGGGAUGAUCGCAAUUAUAUAUGCCUUUAGAACAGCUCAAAAUCGCGUUGACUUUGGAGUUAAUGUUUCUUUAAAACAUUCUCUCCAAAUGCUUGUUGUUUCCGACGGGAAACUAUUUCACGUCAUCCGACAGUUUCAAAACUUAAUUCAAGAUUUCAUAAUCAGCCCUGAAAACCCUCGUUCCAUUGUCUCAUGUGCACUCAAGAAGAUUUAGGAAGUAUAUGUCAAGCCUGUUUUCUUCUUCAACCAUAUUGCUUCAACCAUAUUGCGUCGAGUCAUCAUUACUUCCUCCGUAGGCUAGUGCUCAGUUGCUCAAAGCUGGAUUAGCGCUAACCCUCGGUUAAAAUUUAACCUUCAGCUAGGGCCGGUUGUUCAAAGCUAGAUUAGCGCUAUCUCUGGGUUAAAAUUUAACCUGCUGUUUUAGUUUAUGUAUUUCUGCACGUCUGCUUAUUUCAUAACUUCAGAGAAGAAAAACUCCUACUGAUUCAGACACGAUGUCUGAAGAAAUAUUUCCAAACUUAUAAACAAGCUAUUGGAAAGUAUGCUUUGAAUUUUAGGUUAACCUAGGGUUAAGCUAACUCAGCUUGGAACAACUGGCCCCUGUUUUAGUUUAUGUAUUUCUGCACGUCUGUUUAUUUCAAAACUUCACAGGAGACAACUCCUACUGAUCCAGACAAGAUUUCGUACAAUACGGUUGGUGUUGAAACAGGCGUUGGAAAUAGUAAAGCAUUUUUGGUUUAUGACUAUAUGCUUUUGCUUAAUUAUUUGGGGAGCCUCGCAGUGCCUCGGAAGAUCGUCUCCAAUUGGAUGGGGGUUUUCUAAAGAACGAAACAAUGUCAUUGUUCUGAACACAAAAGCAAUUGUCAAGUCGAGCCAAUGGAAAGCAAUCUUCCGAGCUACUGCGAGGCUACCCAAUUAUUUUAUUAUUUAUUUGGUUUACAAAUUACAACAGAACCGAAAUUGCGAACAGCAAAUUGUAUCAUGUAAAUAUACAAGCCUUUGCACAGAUAUAAAUUUAGUGAAUUGUUGAUUUAAAAUGAUAUCAUACACAUUAUUUAAAUUAUAAAAUAACGUUAAAAUUUAUACACAACAAUUUGUCGAAUUCAGACUUAAAAGUGGAUGUUGUUGGAUAUUUAACGACAAUUCCAGUUGUCAAUAUUUGCAGUUACAGCCGAACAUAUCCACGCCAAGCAGAAAUCAACUUAACAAUGUUGUAAUGUACAUGUGUGUAGAUGAGUUAUAGAAAGAUCAGAAAAGAUAUUUUAUUAAUUGUAGUAGGAGUAUGAGAGAUCUGGCACAUUUUCCCCAAGUGCAGAUUUCCGCCCCAAAUACCCAAAAAUUUCCGGACGACUUAUCCCCAGAUCCCAAAAAAAUUCCGGACGAAUUCUCACCAAAAAUAUUCGGACGGCUUCUCUCCAGGUUCCAAUCUCGUUUCCCGAGCCUGCGAUCCUCGGGAAGGAACGCGAGGCUCUGGGAUAAUCCGUUGCCGGAAGCCAGGAAUCCUGGCUAAGA